rnacentral:sRNA from 1 species
CCACCUUCUCACCUGGGCUCUGCGUAGCCCCAGCCUUGAGGGAAGAUGAAGCCUAAACUGAUGUACCAGGAGCUGAAGGUGCCUGCAGAGGAGCCCGCCAAUGAGCUGCCCAUGAAUGAGAUUGAGGCGUGGAAGGCUGCGGAAAAGGUAGGAGCCCUCCACCACCCUCGCUCUGUCUCAGAGACAGGCUGGGCUGCCCCCCUCGGGCUGCCUGACCACCUCCUCCUCCCCACAGAAAGCCCGCUGGGUCCUGCUGGUCCUCAUUCUGGCGGUUGUGGGCUUCGGAGCCCUGAUGACUCAGCUGUUUCUAUGGGAAUACGGCGACUUGCAUCUCUUUGGGCCCAACCAGCGCCCAGCCCCCUGCUAUGACCCUUGCGAGUAAGUGGGGGGUGCUGCAGGUGGUGGGGGAGGGGCCUGCCAGACCAGGUACACUUAAGCACACACUAAGCAGGGCCUGCACUCAGCCCUACCCAGCACUUGCGACAAGUGAGGAGGUUGCAGGCUCCCAAGUGCUUGCCCGCCCCCUCCUCCUCCACACACAUAGUUUCUAUGGCAGCCACAGCGUCAUCUUCUAUCCGGCCCAUGAACAGACACAGCAUCUUCCACCCACAUCUGUGGACACACACAUGCAUCUAAAUACAUGACCUUCCUUCCACACCUCUAGACAGACACGCAGAGGAUCAUGAGUCCAGGCACGCAUUCAAAUACACACAGUUUUAAAAAAUGUUUUAAAAAGAAAAGAAAAACUCAAACACAGUUUAGCUGGGCUUGGUGGCUCACGCCUGUAAUUGCAACACUUUGCGGGGCUGAGGUGGGAGGAUUGCUUGAGCCCAGGAGUUCCAGACCAGUCUGGGCAACGUAGUGAGGUUCCAUCUCUACUAAAAGUAAAAAAAGUAGCCAGGCAUACCGGUACACACCUGUAGUCCCAGCUACUCAAGAGGUUGAGGUGGGAGGAUCGCUUGAGCCCAGGGGUUCGAGGCUGCAGUGAGCCGAGAUCGCGCCACUGCACUUCCAGCCUGGGGUACAGGGCAAGACUCUGUCUCUAAAAAAAAAAAAAUACAGUCUGUCCAACAUACCCAUGGACAGAUACCAUGGACAGACUCACCUCCCAGCCCUUGCUCUCCGGCACCGUAUGGCUGAUAGCAUCCCCCACCCCCCAGAGCAGUGCUGGUGGAAAGCAUUCCUGAGGGCCUGGACUUCCCCAAUGCCUCCACGGGGAACCCUUCCACCAGCCAGGCCUGGCUGGGCCUGCUCGCCGGUGCACACAGCAGCCUGGACAUCGCCUCCUUCUACUGGACCCUCACCAACA